rnacentral:misc_RNA from 1 species
GCUCUAGGGCAUACUACUAACAUGAGAUUGGGCUGCAAGUUGCCCCUUGGCAUAUUGGAGAGCCUCACUUGUUCCUUUCUUGUUUGGAUGCUUUGAUUUCUCUAGGCUAGAAUUCAUUGGCUCCCAUUUAUCACUGUUUUGAAAUGAUGUUAAACAGAUAUUUUCAGAAAGGAGAGGACAAUGGAAAGCUGCAACUCAGUCCCAAGAGUUCUUUAGAACUUUACAGCGAUAUUACAGCAACGCAUACAUGGAUGCUGAGAAACAAGAUUGCAUUAAUGUAUUCUUAGGUCACUUCCAGCCACAACAGGGAAAGCCAGCAUUAUGGGAAUUGGAUUCAGAUCAACAUCACAAUGUUAGAGGGCAUAGUCCUGGUUUGGUUGAUGAGGGUGCUAGGUACUAUAUUCCUCAUGAUUGCAAAUUUUGUCUAUUGUCAAAACUUUUGUUCAAUGGCAAACCAUUCCUUAGUGCAAUAUUGUGGUUUCCUUGAAAGUGCAAAACAGUUCAGGAAAUUAUGUUAGUAAAUUCGCACAUAUUGCUUUUAUCAGAUAAUGGAAAAAAUAAUCAGACAACCAAAAGAGACAUUUGGGGAUUUUUAAUGUAGGAGAGUUUUUGUCAUAAUCAAAGCUCUCAGUUUUCAUUCAAAAGUUUGCUUCUAUGUCUUUGAUCUUUUAUCUAAAAGUUUUAUGAAAUAAAGUAUAGUUAAGAGGAAAGCAUACAGAAGUCAAUUUAGUAAUAAUAUACACAUGUAUUAUAUAUAUCACAAACCUCAUUUUAUUGAAAAUAUGCCUCUGUACUGUGUAGAUCCUGUUCUGGUGUUGUGUACGGAUAAAGUUGUCAGCUUAAAAGCUAAUUGUUUUCUUUUGCG